rnacentral:rRNA from 1 species
CAGUAGCCGCGGGAAAACGGAGGGAGCUAGCGUUGUUCGGGAUUACUGGGCGUAAAGCGCACGUAGGCGGCUUUGUAAGUUAGAGGUGAAAGCCUGGAGCUCAACUCCAGAAUUGCCUUUAAGACUGCAUCGCUUGAAUCCGGGAGAGGUGAGUGGAAUUCCGAGUGUAGAGGUGAAAUUCGUAGAUAUUCGGAAGAACACCAGUGGCGAAGGCGGCUCACUGGACCGGCAUUGACGCUGAGGUGCGAAAGCGUGGGGAGCAAACAGGAUUAGAUACCCGUGUAGUCCCUGUCUCUUAUAC